rnacentral:rRNA from 1 species
GACGAACGCUGGCGGCGUGCUUAACACAUGCAAGUCGAACGAAGAGCGAUGGAAGCUUGCUUCUCUCAAUCUUAGUGGCGAACGGGUGAGUAACGCGUAAUCAACCUGCCCUUCAGAGGGGGACAACAGUUGGAAACGACUGCUAAUACCGCAUACGAUCUAACCUCGGCAUCGAGGAUGGAUGAAAGGUGGCCUCUAUUUAUAAGCUAUCACUGAAGGAGGGGAUUGCGUCUGAUUAGCUAGUUGGAGGGGUAACGGCCCACCAAGGCGAUGAUCAGUAGCCGGUCUGAGAGGAUGAACGGCCACAUUGGGACUGAGACACGGCCCAGACUCCUACGGGAGGCAGCAGUGGGGAAUCUUCCGCAAUGGACGAAAGUCUGACGGAGCAACGCCGCGUGAGUGAUGACGGCCUUCGGGUUGUAAAGCUCUGUUAAUCGGGACGAAAGGCCUUCUUGCGAAUAGUUAGAAGGAUUGACGGUACCGGAAGAGAAAGCCACGGCUAACUACGUG